GCGCGCAUAGCUCAGCUGGUUAGAGCACGGGUCUUAUAAACCCGGGGUCGAUGGUUCAAAUCCAUCUGCGCGCACCA
rnacentral:tRNA from 5 species